UUGCACUUCCUGACAUCCCUGUGACUGGUGGGGCCCUGUGCCUAGUUGACAGUGGAAGGAACAUGUAACUUCUAGGUAGCUCUGCAAGAAGAAAUUGUUUGUGCAGUAGUAGCAGCGGUGGCGGUAGGGGCAUAGCAUAGCUCAUGAAGCAGGAAGCCUGGGGAUGCUGUACAGUACUGCUUCUUGUUAGCUGUGUGAUGUUGGACAACUCUCUACACUACUGAGUCCUAAUAUCUUCAUUAACCAAAGAUACCCAUGAAGAUGCAGAAAAAUCUUCACACUCUCAGCAAUUUAACAAUCUAAGGCUCUACAGACCCUUGCUAAUGGAUUCUUCAAUGGCUUCAUCCUUCCAAUUUCUUCCUCUUGACAUUUUUGCAUGUUGGGAUUAUGUAUAUCCCUGAAAUAGUGUGUCUCUUGGCCAACGGGUAUAAAUAGCAAGGCCUCACAUCAUCUGUUAACCAUUUUCAAAAAAAAG
rnacentral:lncRNA from 10 species